UACGUAGGUGGCAAGCGUUGUCCGGAAUUAUUGGGCGUAAAGCGCGCGCAGGCGGUCCUUUAAGUCUGAUGUGAAAGCCCACGGCUCAACCGUGGAGGGUCAUUGGAAACUGGGGGACUUGAGUACAGAAGAGAAGAGUGGAAUUCCACGUGUAGCGGUGAAAUGCGUAGAUAUCUGGAGGAACACCGGUGGCGAAGGCGGCAUCCUGGACCGACACUGACACUGAGGAGCGAAAGCCAGGGGAGCAAACGGG
rnacentral:rRNA from 1 species